rnacentral:rRNA from 1 species
AUGGCGCCACCAGCCUUCAAUCUCGCCGGAUCCGGCCGCCUGCACGCCAAGUCCGCCGGAAAUGGAUCCGUCCCGUCCAGAUCCGGCCGGAUCCGACCGAGCCCCGCCAUCCUCGCCACUGGAGCACCUCCCCGCUCGACCAACAGCGCCGGCGCUGUCUGUCCCUGCCCGCGUCUGCACGAGGACGACGCUCAUCCUGCUGGCUUGCAGCACUCGUAUGGGCCGCCGCCCCAGCCGUCCCGGCAUCAAGCCAAGGCCCAUCCCAAGCCACAUCUUCUGCCGCUCCGUCACCGCCCACCUUGA